GAUGAAGAACGCAGCGAAAUGCGAUAAGUAGUGUGAAUUGCAGAAUUCAGUGAAUCAUCGAAUCUUUGAACGCACAUUGCGCCCCUUGGUAUUCCAUGGGGCAUGCCUGUUCGAGCGUCAUUUGUACCCUCAAGCUUUGCUUGGUGUUGGGUGUUUGUCCCGCCUCUGCGCGUGGACUCACCUCAAAUCCAUUGGCGGCCCCCGCGUCGGCCACGAGCGCAGCAGAAACGCGAACUCGUGAGCCCGUCCGGGCGGCUCCCAGAAGCUAACCCCCAAUUUUUGACCUCGGAUCAGGUAGGGAUACCCGCUGAACUUAAGCAUAUCAAUAAGCGGAGGA
rnacentral:misc_RNA from 1 species